UUUCGUCAAGGGGUACGGUAGACUGGAUCGAAACCUUAUAUGAAUAACAAAGCAUAAAAAAAUAUCGAUUUUGAGUCGACAACAUAUAUCCGCAAAAUUCGGAUAAUGGAGAAUUUCGUUAAAUUCCGAUGGCACUGACAAACAAACCGCUGUCGCCAUCUUUAGUAGUUCACCAUCCACUCACUAUGCGAUCAGCGCCAAAACCUUAUAAUAAACUAUUUGCUGGGUUGUCAUCGAUCCAUAAAUAAAUGGAGAUCAGUGCGUUUCGCGAUUUUUAUGACAAUACUCUUUGUUAUGUGUUUUUUCUUUAAUUGGCCGAUUCAACCACAGAAAAAGAAUAUUAGCCAUAACCAUAAAAGUUGAAGUUCAAUGUCAAUGUCAUUUAGUUUCGCACAGUGAUAAAUUCCAGUGACAUGCAAUUUUUGUAAUAGCAAAAUAUUUGUAAGAAACUGCAAACAAAUGCAAAUAUGCAGUCGAUGUGUGGAAUGCGACAACAUUAUACUCGAUAAUUUCAAUUAUUGCGAGUGUUGUGGCUUAGAAACAAUUAGGCAGUUAAGAAUAAACAAGGCUCGGGCACUAUCAAACCUUUUUCCUAAAAAGCAAAAAGCUGCUUCUGCUGCAUCACAAGAUUUAUUUGAUGACUUUCAGGUUGAUAACGAAGAGUUGACGCUAAUCGAGGAUUCAUUGAUGAUUGAUGAUGCUUCUUCGGACAACAAGAAAAAACAGCUACUGUCAGUCAGCAGUGAUGAUGCUUCUUCGGACAAUAAGGAAAAACAGCUGCUGUCAGUCGGCAGUGAUUUUAUUUCUUUAGAAGAAGAAGAGAAAGAAAACAUAUCAAAUAAAUGGCGGGCAGACCCCCGAAAAAGCGUAAAUAUUGAAGCAGGUUUAGUACAGAAUAUCAGCACUCCAGGACUAACUAUUUAUAUUUAGCACUUUCAAAUAACACCAUUCAAGUAUCAGUACAUUCAGUUGGUUCUAUGAUUUAUGAAUGUGUUCAAUGUCAAGCACUUCAUUUUUUAGGUGAAAAAAUUAAAAAUCAUUUUAAAAAUUGUUGUCAUAAUGGGAAGGUAUACAUAGACCCAGACAGAGUCUUAAAGCCAAUUCCAGAAAUAUUAUUAGCAUUUUUUUUAAUUAAACAGAACAGAUGAAAGUGCUCGACAAUAUCUUUACACUGAAAUU